UUAUGAACUUGAAGAGAAACAUUUUAAUUAAAAAUAUUUUCAGAUAAAUAGAAUUUUUUUAUAUUUUAAUUGUGAUCAUGCAAUGCAAGUUAGCAAAAAGUAAUAAAAAUUCUUGCUAAAUAUCUAUGGCUUUACUGAGCAAAGGUGAACAUAACUGUUCUGGAUUAUUAAUUUUAAAAGAAUACAUAAGUCUUCAAAAACAAAAGGCCCAAAUUCUUUCAAAGAAUAUUCAAAUUUUAAAAGAAUCUGCAGGGGUCAAUUCAUCUGGAAAGUUAUGGUGUAGAAAAGAAGAAAGAAAAGCCAAGAGAUUUUGAAAAUUGGAGAAAGGACAGGGCCAAAAUUAAUUGCAGAAGAGAUUUGAAAAGAGUGGUAGCAGAAUACAAAAUAUUGCAAAGCAGAAAUGAGAUAGAUUAGAGGAACUCAUAAAAAGAAGAUGACGUCAGUGAAGUUUUAGGUGGGAAACACUCAUUAAAGAAGAUACCUUCUCAGACAAUGUUUUGUUAACUCGUGGACUUCAUUCCUUCAGAAAGUCAUUGAGGUCCAAAAACUGGGCAGAUUUCCAAAGGAGUUGCUUACAUGCUUAAUAAUACAAGCUCAAAUAGUUGUACCUGCUCACAGUGCAGUUUAAAACCUCUCAACCUCUGCUUCAAGAUUUAAAUCAGAAUUACCUGUAAGAACUCCAGAAGAAAGGUAAUUCAAGGGCACAUUUUGUUUUAUCUACAAUUGUCCAAUGAAAUGUUUGGCACUGAUCAGGACAGAGGCAGAAUUAGUUUGAUCCCAGGGAAGAAUCUCUGUUCCUGUAUGCCCCAGACACCAUCCCAUGUCAUGUAACUGUUGACUGAGUCCAACACAGGCUAAACCUCUGGUGUGACUGAAGUGACUAAAUACAAGCUGUUUUAAAAAUCAGAUUGUUUUGAAGUUAAGCAUAUUGCAGAGACCACAGCACAUUUUAAAUUGCACAAUCAUGUAUCUAGUACUGAACUUUUAAGUUCUAGGAGCUUUGGCUUAAAGCUGUGGGGCUUUUGAGGCUUCGCGCAAUAUGUGCAACAACUUGUGCUUCUCUCAACAAGAAACUAGCAAAUUACAUUUGCAAGGCUCUCUGUACAAAAAAGAGUAACAAAAACAGCAGAAACAAUUCCUGGGAAGCCAAAAGGACAUUAGCAACAUUAAAAACAAUCUGCUGUUUAAGGUUAAUAGAACCGCUAGUUUUUGUCUAAAGGCUGAGAAAUAUUUUUGGAGGGCAGUUUCCUGGAAAGUUGAG
rnacentral:lncRNA from 1 species